UACGAACCGUGCGAACGUUGUUCGGAAUCACUGGGCUUAAAGGGCGCGUAGGCGGGCUGUCAAGUCUGGGGUGAAAUGCCACGGCUCAACCGUGGAACUGCCUUAGAUACUGACGGCCUCGAGGAAGGUAGGGGCAUGCGGAACUGUAGGUGGAGCGGUGAAAUGCGUUGAUAUCUACAGGAACUCCGGUGGCGAAAGCGGCGUGCUGGACCUUUUCUGACGCUGAGGCGCGAAAGCUAGGGGAGCAAACGGG
rnacentral:rRNA from 1 species